rnacentral:misc_RNA from 1 species
UACGUAGGUGGCAAGCGUUGUCCGGAAUUAUUGGGCGUAAAGCGCGCGCAGGCGGUCCCUUAAGUCUGAUUUGAAAGCCCACGGCUCAACCGUGGCGGGUCCUUGGAAACUGGGAGACUUGAGUGUAGGAGAGGAAACUGGAAUUCCACGUGUAGCGGUGAAAUGCGUAGAUAUGUGGAGGAACACCAGUGGCGAAGGCGGCUUUCUGGCCUACAACUGACGCUGAGGCGCGAAAGCGUGGGGAGCAAACAGG